UUUCUUCCAGUUGAUGAGGCUGUUACACCUCAUCGAUUGGAAGGAAUUCCUUCCAAUCAAUGAGGUGUAACAACCUCAUCAACCAGAAGGGA
rnacentral:miRNA from 1 species